UACGAAGGGGGCUAGCGUUGUUCGGAAUCACUGGGCGUAAAGGGCGCGUAGGCGGCCGAUCAAGUCGGGGGUGAAAGCCUGUGGCUCAACCACAGAAUGGCCUUCGAUACUGGUUGGCUCGAGACCGGAAGAGGUGAGUGGAACUGCGAGUGUAGAGGUGAAAUUCGUAGAUAUUGGGAGGAACACCAGUGGCGAAGGCGGCUCACUGGACCGGAACUGACGCUGAGGCGCGAAAGCGUGGGGAGCAAACAGG
rnacentral:rRNA from 1 species